CGGAAAUAAAACUGAACGAGUGCAUAUUUGAUGUAGCGGUCACUAACGAUACAUCCCUGACCGAACAGGAAGCAUUCAAGAUUGGAUGUCCAACUCAAUGUUCUGGCAAAGGUCGUUGUGUGAACAACACUUGCGUGUGUGUUUCGGGAUGGUUUGGAGACGAAUGUAGUCGAGGUUCUUGUGCAAAUUGCAGUGUAAAUGGGGACUGUGUGUCUGGAUUCUGUCGCUGUCAUUUUGGAUGGGAUGGACCGUUCUGUGAAAGGCCUG